AGAAAAGGUCAGAUUAUCUGUAAGAAGGUGACCAGCAGCAGAAGAAGCUGCCCUGCAUGGAGCCUUGGCUCCAGAGGAAAGAAUCUAGUUGGGAAUGAGCUGAUGUCUGCAGUGAACUGAGUGCUGUAUAAAAGCUGUAUGAAGAUCUGCCUGCUCUGAAGAACUUGCACUCCAAGGACUUGAGAGGAUAUCAUCAAGGUUGAGAGCUUUGCAGGAAUCAAAAAGAUGCAAGAUCGUAUACAAGUAUCAAGAAUGGGCAGAAUUAUAGUAGCAAACCCUAAAGAAAAA